UACGGGGGGGGCAAGCGUUGUUCGGAAUCACUGGGCGUAAAGCGUGCGUAGGCUGUUAGCAAGUUGGAAGUGAAAGCCCAGGGCUCAACCCUGGAAUUGCUUUCAAAACUGCAAAACUAGAGUCCGGGAGAGGAUAGCGGAAUUCCCAGUGUAGUAGUGAAAUACGUAGAUAUUGGGAGGAACACCAGUGGCGCAAGCGGCUAUCUGGACCGGUACUGACGCUGAGGCACGAAAGCGUGGGGAUCAAACAGG
rnacentral:rRNA from 1 species